rnacentral:rRNA from 1 species
UAGGGAAUCUUCGGCAAUGGGGGCAACCCUGACCUAGCAACGCCGCGUGAGUGAAGAAGGUUUUCGGAUCGUAAAGCUCUGUUGUAAGAGAAGAACGUGUGUGAGAGUGGAAAGUUCACACAGUGACGGUAACUUACCAGAAAGGGACGGCUAACUACGUGCCAGCAGCCGCGGUAAUACGUAGGUCCCGAGCGUUGUCCGGAUUUAUUGGGCGUAAAGCGAGCGCAGGCGGUUUAAUAAGUCUGAAGUUAAAGGCAGUGGCUUAACCAUUGUUCGCUUUGGAAACUGUUAAACUUGAGUGCAGAAGGGGAGAGUGGAAUUCCAUGUGUAGCGGUGAAAUGCGUAGAUAUAUGGAGGAACACCGGUGGCGAAAGCGGCUCUCUGGUCUGUAACUGACGCUGAGGCUCGAAAGCGUGGGGAGCAAACAGG